AUUGACCGCUGGCGGCAGGCCUAACACAUGCAAGUCGAGCGGAGCGGCGGACGGGUGAGUAAAGCCUAGGAAUCUGCCUGGUAGUGGGGGAUAACGUCCGGAAACGGGCGCUAAUACCGCAUACUAUCAGAUGAGCCUAGGUCGGAUUAGCUAGUUGGUGGGGUAAAGGCCUACAAAGGCGACGAGCCGUAACUGGUCUGAGAAGAUGCUCAGUCACACUGGAACUGAGACACGGUCCAGACCCCUACGAGAAGCAGCAGUGGGAAUAUUGGACAAUGGGCGAACGCCUGAUCCAGCCAUGCGGCGUGUGUGAAGAAGGUCUUCGGAUUGUAAAGCACUUUAAGUUGGAAGCCGUUACCAACAGAAUAAGCACCGGCUAACUUCGUGCCAGCAGCCGCGGUAAUUC
rnacentral:rRNA from 1 species